GUGCCUGUAGCUCAGUUGGAUAGAGCAUUGGCCUCCGAAGUCAAAGGUCGCUGGUUCGAAUCCAGUCAGGCACACCA
rnacentral:tRNA from 1 species